rnacentral:rRNA from 1 species
CAUGCAAGUCGAACGCGAAAUUUCCCUUCGGGGAGAAAGUAGAGUGGCGCACGGGUGAGUAACACGUAGGUAAUUUGCCUUUGGGUGGGGAAUAACUCAGGGAAACUUGAGCUAAUACCGCAUAAUGCAGCGGCUCGACAUCGAGACAGUUGUUAAAGCGGGGGAUCGCAAGACCUCGCGCCUAAAGAGAAGCCUGCGGCAGAUUAGCUAGUUGGUAAGGUAAUGGCUUACCAAGGCUACGAUCUGUAACCGGCCUGAGAGGGCGGUCGGUCACACUGACACUGACAUACGGGUCAGACUCCUGCGGGAGGCAGCAGUCGGGAAUUUUGGGCAAUGGGCGAAAGCCUGACCCAGCAACGCCGCGUGAAGGAUGAAAUUUUUCGGAAUGUAAACUUCGCAAGAACAGGAAGAAUAAGUAGGGGACAAUACCCCCUAUGAUGACGGUACUGUUUGUAAGCUCCGGCUAACUCCGUGCCAGCAGCCGCGGUAAUACGGGGGGAGCAAGCGUUGUUCGGAUUUACUGGGCGUAAAGGGCGCGUAGGCGGCGUGACAAGUCACUUGUGAAAUCUCCGGGCUUAACUCGGAAAGGUCAAGUGAUACUGUCGUGCUAGAGUACAGAAGGGGCAACUGGAAUUCUCGAUGUAGCGGUGAAAUGCGUAGAUAUCGAGAGGAACACCUGCGGCGAAGCGGGUUGCUGGGCUGAUACUGACGCUGAGGCGCGAAAGCCAGGGGAGCGAACGGGAUUAGAUACCCCGGUAGUCCUGGCCUUAAACGAUGAAUGCUUGGUGUCUCGGGUUAUAAAGUCCCGGGGUGCCUUCGCUAACGCUUU